rnacentral:lncRNA from 1 species
CAUCACAAAGUAUUUCAAACAAGGUAAGACCGGAUGGACAUAUGCACUCUAUUUUAAAGUUUACCACAAAGUAAACAGUGAGUAAUCUUCACGGGCUGGCAGGUGUGGCACAUUUGUUGCUAAUGUGUCUCAAUGCAGCAACAGGGGGCUGCCAAGGUGUAUUCAGGUGCGUCUGGGCCUUGCUGAGGAUAAUACACGCGGGGCGAAUGAUUAGGACUCCCACAACCCCCUGCGGAGCGCCUGUCUCAGAGAAGAGCCUGGCAGACAGUAGCUUCAAGCCACUUCCUCAACCACAUUCCAGCACUGCUAAAUACGCCACUUCAGAGCGCAGGAGGUGACAUCAACUGAAUGCGGGCUGCUGACCUCAGCUCCUGAAAUAGCCCUCCAUGGUUAGCUGGAAGGAAAGGCG